rnacentral:ribozyme from 1 species
UGCCGUUUGAGCGGCAUUAAACAGGUCUUAAGCUCAAAGCGUCACCGCCUACAAUGCUAGGCGGUGGGUGACA